CCUACGGGAGGCAGCAGUGGGGAAUAUUGCACAAUGGGGGAAACCCUGAUGCAGCGACGCCGCGUGAGUGAAGAAGUAAUUCGUUAUGUAAAGCUCUAUCAGCAGGGAAGAAAAUGACGGUACCUGAGUAAGAAGCCCCGGCUAACGACGUGCCAGCAGCCGCGGUAAUACGUAGGGUGCAAGCGUUAUCCGGAUUUACUGGGUGGAAAGGGAGCGUAGACGGCAGUGCAAGUCUGGAGUGAAAGGCGGGGGCUCAACCCCCGGACUGGACUGGAAACUGUACGGCUGGAGUGCAGGAGAGGUAAGUGGAAUUCCUGGUGUAGCGGUGAAAUGCGUAGAUAUUACGAAGAACACCAGUGGCGAAGGCGGCUUACUGGACUGUAACUGACGUUGAGGCUCGAAAGCGUGGGGAGCAAACAGGAUUAGAUACCCCUGUAGUC
rnacentral:rRNA from 1 species